CAGUAGCCACGGUAAUACGGAGGGUGCAAGCGUUAAUCGGAAUUACUGGGCGUAAAGCGCGCGUAGGUGGUUUGUUAAGUUGGAUGUGAAAGCCCCGGGCUCAACCUGGGAACUGCAUCCAAAACUGGCAAGCUAGAGUACGGUAGAGGGUGGUGGAAUUUCCUGUGUAGCGGUGAAAUGCGUAGAUAUAGGAAGGAACACCAGUGGCGAAGGCGACCACCUGGACUGAUACUGACACUGAGGUGCGAAAGCGUGGGGAGCAAACAGGAUUAGAUACCCCUGUAGUCCCUGUCUCUUAUAC
rnacentral:rRNA from 1 species